rnacentral:rRNA from 1 species
UGGGGAACCUGCCCCAUAGUCUGGGAUACCACUUGGAAACAGGUGCUAAUACCGGAUAAGAAAGCAGAUCGCAUGAUCAGCUUUUAAAAGGCGGCGUAAGCUGUCGCUAUGGGAUGGCCCCGCGGUGUAUUAGCUAGUUGGUAAGGUAAAGGCUUACCAAGGCGAUGAUGCAUAGCCGAGUUGAGAGACUGAUCGGCCACAUUGGGACUGAGACACGGCCCAAACUCCUACGGGAGGCAGCAGCU